rnacentral:rRNA from 2 species
GCUAUACUGCAAGUCGAGCGCGUUGGAUUCAUUGAUUCUUCUGCUUGAUUCUGAUUACUUUUGCUCCCCAUCGAUUGGUGACCGGUGGAGUAACUGCCCUGUAACCUGGCAUGAAGCUUGGGACAACGUUUGGAAACCGAAGCUAAUCCCGAAUCACAGGGUUGUUCUUUGGAACGACGCUCAAAAUAUGGCUUCUCGAUGACCCUUCUGGAUGGACCUGCGGUGGUGGGGCUUGUGGGUGGGGUAACGGCCUACCAAGGCCAAGAUGAAAAACCGAGUUGAGAGACUGGUACUGAACAAUGGGACUGACUCCUAGCCCAUGCUCCUACGGGGAAUCUUCCACGGGAAUCUUCCACAAUGGGGACAAACCUGAUGGAGCAACACCGCGUGAGUGAAGAAGGGUUUCGGCUCGUAAAGCUCUGUUGUUAAAGAAGAACACUGGUGAUUGUAACUGUUCAUUCGUUGACAAAGUUUAACCUGAAAGUCUCGGCUAACUACCUGCCAUCCGCCGCGGUAAUACGUAGGUGGGAUGCGUUGUGCGGAUUUAUUGGGCGUGCAGAGAGUGCAGGCUGAUUUCUAAGUCUGAUGUG